GAGAAUUCUUCAGUUACCACCUAGAUGUUCCCUGGGCUAACUGCUUCAGUUUGAUGUCUUUCAGUUGAAGGACUCCAGAAUGACAGUUGCUCAGACUUUUCCACACUGGGAUCUAGACCUGAGCAAGCUCCCGUCUCUCCGAGCAUCUGGCAAAUGCCUCAGGGGCCAAGGAGUCGACUGCACCUAAGGAAGCCGCCCCUUUGCACCCGUGUUUGUCAUGAGACUGUGUUCAGGUGACCUGACACUAGCUUUGUUCCUUUUCCUGCCACAUCUGCAGUCACUUCGUUAGCCGAGGUCGUAGAGUCAUCUGAGGGAGGUGGCACGAACUCUUUCCACUCUGCAGUUAGUGGUAACAACCGGCCUCCUCCCACGGACCACAAGUGUUCUCAGUGACAUCUAGAAUGGCAUGUCUCUCAAUGAAGUUUUGAACUUGGCUUGAUGCCUUAGAGAAAGAUUAGGUAAUAAAAGAUAGUAUUAGCUACAACCUUUAAAAUGUAUUUCUUAAAUAAGCUUCAAAAGCUAAAUUAACUUUGAUCCUUGGGCGACAGGAUAGACACGGUAUGUAUGAACAGAAAGCAAAGACAGAGCCAUCCGAGUCAGACUGUACCUCUCCAUUAGAACUCUUGGGUGGCCAGGUGCACCAUCAGUGAGCAGGGAUAUGUUCAAAAGAAUCUUUUCUUCUGAG